CUGUUAGUGGCUGAAAAUAGAGUAGAAAGGCGGUGAAAAGAAGUAUCUGAAGCUUUGGGGAAAACAGAGAGGUGAUUUUUUUGUUUUGAGGUCCAAUAAGUAUCACAGUGAACAAGCCAACAUGCUGACUCGAUUCACUAACCAUUUGGAAAAGUAAUGUCACUUUUACAAUGAUUCACAAAAGACAGCAUGUUUAUUUAGACACCAGCAUUAUAAUACUGAUCAAAAGCAUGUAUAUAUAAUAGAUUUAUAAACAAGUGGUUCAUGCUAUUUAUUAGCUAAACUGAAUGAUUCAAUAAAAUUUGUGACAUGACAAAAAUCAAUACAGCUACUCUGAAAGCGCCAUUCCCAAUCCUCUUGCUGAUCGAUGAAUCUGAUCCAGUGAUGGCAUUCCAACUCCUGCUGAAGCUGUACUUACAGCUCAAAAUAGUCCUGUUUCUCACAAUCUGAAGAUUGCCUGUCAGCCGUCAGACCACUUUACUAAAGCCAGACCCAUCUGUUCCGCAGGGCUGCCUGAUAUGGAUGUUAUGGAACUCUGGCUAGGCUGGUGUGAUGUCGUGUUCAAUCACCUGGAGUUCUAGAAUUGAAUUUGGAAUGCUGAAGAGGUCACAUGCUCGACCAGUGUUCCAUCUCCCCCUUUGGCCUUCAGCUGGGCGGAUCUAAACUUCACAAUGUUCUCAUCAACUGGAGGUCACCUGUCCACAUAUGAAGGUGAGGAAGAUGAUGGCGUCAGAAUCCAAUAUUUGCUUUAUCAGCAGCUUGUGUUUGUUUAUCUGAGUCAAAGAUCAGUGAACGGCCAAUCACAGCCAAACAUCAACAAUGUCAGCCAAUUUCUGAUAAGAAGAACAUGGCAGAGGACACAGCAAAGAACUCACUGACACAAACACCCAAAAGCGGGCAUAGGUGUGUGUGUAUCAAAUCAAUGACAUGCAGAACAGGAGUUCCUGAAGAGAUUCACACUCAGAAAAGUGAGACCUGGGUAACUGUGCUAUCCGCACCUUGUUUUACGAAAUGAGAAUUAGGAAAUGUGUGUCUGCAAGACACCAGGUUACACAUGGUCACACGUUAACUUUCAGUCUCCUUCAGAGAAAUAUUGCGACAUU
ensembl:lncRNA